CCCAGAAAUAGUCGUAUAUUCAUCGGACUGAAUGGUCAUCACGCUUCACCUCAUGUCGCUCUUGUUACAGAGAAGCAAGUUCAAAUAAAGAGGAGAAAAUUCCCAACACCUAUGUAUUGUGAAGUUGUCUAUGAAUCAAUUUCAAAUUGGUGAUUUGUAAAUUUUUUUUCUCUUUUUCUUUUCCCCUUUUAUUGGUUUGCCUAUAUAUGUAAGAAUGUGUAAACUUCAACUUUAUUGUUUGGAUUUAUUUCCUACAACAUAAAUGGUUUGCGAAUGAUGGGAACUUACAUGCAUGCAUGCAUGAUGUUUCUUC